rnacentral:rRNA from 1 species
AUGUUUGGAAAAGCUAGUGUGGAGAACACAAGGUCCUGUCAGUGUGAAUGCCGAGCGUUAAUAAGGCUGUUAUGGAUAGAGGACAAUGGUUGGUAUAUCGCAGAGCAUCGAGAGAGCCAUAACCACUCGCUUUCGCCAAAUUUCGGUGAGACAAUUCACUGGUCAUCCCACAAGCACUUUGAUGUGUACAGCAGGGAUUUGAGAAAGCAUUUGCGGCAGAAUAAUGUCAACCUAGCUAAGGUGUAUAGCAUAGUAGGCAUAUUUUUUGGAUCGAUGAAAAAUGUGCCAUUUACGAAGAGGUCUUUGUGUAAUCUUUGCGGCCAGAUUAGCAGGGAACAAUCAGAUGAUAAUGUAAGGAAAACAAUGGAGGUUUUUGCAGAAAUUGGGGCAAAGGACCCUCAUUUCAAAUACAGAGUUCAGCCUGACAAAGAGGGCGGGAUCAAGAACCUUAUGUGGGCAAGCGGGAGCAAUAGGUUGCAGUACACAUUUUCCGGUAGUGCAUUAACAUUUGACACAACCUACAUGACAAAUUUGUAUGACAUGCCUUUCAGACUAUUUGUUGGUGUGAACAACCAUUUUCAGAGAGUGAUCCCGGCUGGAUUGAUUGUGUGUGGCGAAACUGUCGAGAGUUUCAAAUGGGUUUUCUCUGAAUUUCUCAGAAUCAUGGGUGGCGCUGCACCAAAAAACUAUACUUACUGA